GGAACUCCCAGCUCAUCUUUUUGAGUUGGCCUGUUCCAUAUGUAGAAGCUGAGGCUAUGGAUUGGCUGUUUUGGAUCUAGUGUACACUUCUAAUCAGGUCAAUGCAGAAGCGACAGGCUCAGUUGGAAGAAAAUAUGGCUGAGGUGGCUCUCUGCUGAGCAGGGCUGCUGGUGGCACAGUUUCUCCUUGAAAGGGUGUUCAGUGUUGGCAGAAUGAGACAUGAUGGUCUGGUCCUGGUAGAUGGAAAGUGCAAGCCUAGACUCUGGUCCUGGCUCUGCCUAGUGUUGUGACCUUGAACUUCAUUAACUUUUCUAUGCCUCAGCUUUCUCAAAAUGAUACUUCCCCUCUCAACACACAGAGUUGUUAGGAGGACUAAGUAAAAUCAUAUGUGAGAAGAAAUAUUUCUUGGUGCUUAACGAAUGGAAUAAUACUGACAUGUUUCUUUAAUACCAAGAUACACAUUUUUUUCCUUUUGUUGUUUAAAUCAGAAUGUCAAUUGAUGUGAACACUUAAUACUGAAGUUUUGUUGUUUCUCCAGAUGUUACAAAGUCAAUGGUAUGUCUUACAGUAAAUAAAGCCUGAGUUUUCUUUUUGCUUUUUUUCUUAGGGCAGCACCCGCGGCAUAUGGAGUUUCCCUGGCUAGUGGUCUAAUCAGAGCUACAGCUGCCAGCCUACACCAUAGCCACAGCAAUGCAGGAUCCAAGCCAAGUCUGCAACCUAUGCCACAGCUUAUGGCAACGCCGGAUCCUUAACCCACUGAAUGAGGCCAAGGAUCGAACCCACAACCUCAUGGUUUCUAGUCGGAUUCGUUACUGCUGCGCCACAAUGGGAACUCCAAACCUGUGUUUUCUAUCACUGUACACCACAGUUUAGCAGUUUAAAAACAAUGCCAAUUUAUCAUCUCAUGGUUCCUGUGGGCUCAGGGCUUCUCAGCUCAGAGUCUCACAAAACUGAAAUCCAAGUGUCAGCAGCCAGGAACGCGCUCUCAUCUGAGGGUGGGGCCCUUUUCCAAGCUCACCAGUUGGCAGAACUUAGUUCCUCUCAGCUGUAGGGCUGAGUUCCUCAGAGUCGAGAAGGUGCCCACCAUCCCCUGCCACGUAACCCUCUUCAAAAAUGGUCAUUUGCUUCUUCAAGGAGCAUAGGAGAGAGUGCCUGCUGCUUCCCACCUCUCGGACCUGUUCUGUCCCUAAACCCUCACUUAAAGGGUUUCACUGAUUGGGUCAGGCUCACCAGGAUGCUCUUUCCCUUAGGAUCAUUUCAAAGUCAACAAACCGGAGACACCUGCAAAGUCCCUCCACCUUCGCCAGGCAUAGAUGAAAUCCCUCCUACUCGUGAGUCCUGCCCCACCCCCCAGGGGGAGGGGAUUAUACCGCGUGCCUAUACCUGGGGGCAGGAAUCCUGCGGGCAAUCUUAGAAUUCUGUUUACACCGUAUCUAAAAUUCUCGGAAAUAUGGCCGUUUGAUGAGGGCAAUCUGGUGUGACUCCCAGUUUCCUUUUGCGUCUUCCUUCUCCACCAGAGCACUGUACCCAAAGUAACUCCCAGACGCCCCAGUGGAAAACUUAUUUUUCACUUUUUGUAGGACUUCCUACGUUUCUCCCAGGAGCCAGGUAUCCAAGGUGGUGAAUAAACUUCAGCGCUGCCUAGUGCAGCCCUUUGAGAAGGAUUGUCUGGUGGCAUUUGGGGUUCCUCAGAGACUUGAACCCCAAUGCCCCAAGGCACUGAUUGGUACCGAUUCACUUCCUUCAUGUGCAUCUAUGGUGCGGCGAGUUAGGUAACACGCUUCGGAGCCUCUGACGAGAAUCCUAAUCAGAGUCAGAGAGCAGUUGGUUCUGAGGAGCAGCUUGGGUUGAGAUCAGGUGGCCUGAUCAGUUGCUGGCUUUGGCUGCUGAUGCUGGUGAGGGAAGUAACGGCAUGGACGCUGGGAAUUUGUCAUCGCUGCUUCCGUGCCUUCAGGAUCUGGUGCAUCACCAUUGCCGACCAGCCCCUCCGCUGUCUCCCAGGUAGGUGAUUCCAAGACCUCCACUGAAGUGCUCACAGAACUUGGAAGAGAGAGAGUCCUUCUAAUGGCCAAUGAGCUAAGAAGCUGUAUUCCACCCCACCCCCAUCCCCCCCACCUCCACCGGCCCUUGGACUCACUUCCUAACUCUAUUGUGCGUUUUACUCCUCUCCCUCUAGUGUUGGUAGGAGUCAGAGAUCACAUCCCCAGAGUUAAAACCAAAGGCAUUGGUCUUUGGGCAGAUCGUGACUGCCCAUCAAAGGCUUGCUUUGCCUUUGGCUGGUCCUUAGUGGUUAUUGUUGUCAUGAGAAUGCCUUGACAACAUCAAUCCAAUCAACAGAAAUCAUCCCCCACCCCUGCUCUUUCUUUAGCUAAAACCAGCAGUAACAAUCAAUCUUCACACCACCCUUUCUUAUAAAUACCUCGGGUAUUCGUUCUGUCUGCAUGUUCCACUAGACUCUGAAUUUCUUGAAGGGAAGAGACUAUAUCUUGUCUUCCAUUUCAUUCCUACUGCCUGGCACACCAAUGCAGAGCAGCCUCUAAGUAAAUUCUUGAUGGGAUGAGCAAAAGAAUUUACUAACUCCUUCCACGUACUCAGAAUCAAAUAGUUUUGUUUUUGUUUGUUUGUUUAAAUAAAGUCCAAAGGUGCCACCUCCCUCCUCCCUUCAUCAUCAUUAGACAGUUUAGUUUGACAGCAAGGGGAAAAAGAAAAAUCGUGGGAAGAAGGUAAGUGAAUUACAUCAGGAUCUGAGCGGAAACAGAUACUGCUAGUGAUUGUUCUCGCCGGCUUAUAACAGGCAGGAUAUAAAUACACGUUAUAGAAGAGGAAAUUCAAAAGAGAAACAGGGAAGCAGGUUUGAGAUUUUGAAAAAUAGCAUGUUCAGGACCCGCUUACUCAGAGGCAAUUAGACUGUGACCCAGGGCAAAUCAUGCUUCACUUUGCUGUUAUUGUUAGAAUGAGAAGAAAUUUCAAAAACCCAGGAGCCCCACCCCUUCCUAUUUCAUUGGAGCAUAGAUUAUUUUUCAAGGGGUGAGGCUCGGGUUAAGGAUGAGUGCUCCCCUCAUUGAACACUCGAAUCAACAGAGGCGGAUAUUGUCUUUCUUCUCAGUGACCCCCACCCCCAUCCCAUCUUUUUUUGCUAAACUUUAAUUUUCAGGAUAUUUAUGGGACAUCUCAACUAAAGCUUUCCAGUAGAUAUACCAUGGGCAGCAUCAGUUUAUUUUGUUUUAUUGUUAAGGUAGUUGCUUUCAUCUUAAAAAAAAAAAAAAGUUAACACUCAGCUAUUUUGACUUCAGAAAAAAAAAAGGUAGUGAACACAGGUAUUUUGACUUCAGGAAAAUGACUUCCCUUGCCCAUGGCAUCUUGCAACCAAACGCACUCAAAGUCCUUUAAUUAUUAGGUAAGCUAGGUGGUUGCUACCCUAGAUGACAAGGCGGGGUCUGCAAAUGGUGCCUUCAGACACUGUGGAUUCAGAGGCCAACACUUUGCAGAGGCCUCUGCAUUGUGGACCUAAUGGUGGUGUCUGGUUAAACUCCAGACCAGACCGGUGGGCUCUCCAGUGGGUGGGCUCUCCAGUGGGAAUCCCAAGUGCCUCAGCGAGUUAGCAGUGUGGCAAGGUUCAGGGAGAAGAUACAGAGACGUUUUCAGCCCACUCCCUGGAACCUUCCGUGAACUAGUGGCCACCCACCUGCUGAUUUCCAGCUUGGGAAAACACAACUGCCUUCUGCUCCUGAAGAACUUCUUUCCUGCUUGCAUGUCAAGGCUAUUUCACAAGGCAGGGUCCUUGCCUACCCGUUACCUUCCUGAAUAGGAGAAAGGAUGGUGCAUGUUGGAUGUUAGCUAUCUAAGCCAUCUGUCAGUACUCAGGCUCCUGGUCUCUGACAACAUCCCAGAGUGGCUGGAGAGGGGCUCAAGAAAGCUUCCUCAACUGGCUUCUGAUGCUAAAGAAAGAUUUUUCUAGAAUGGUGGCCACGUUAACAUUCAAAUACUUUGGGGGCCAUGCAGCAAAUAAAAUGAGAGAACAGGUGGGAGAUAUGAUGACAAACGCAGUUCUCCCUCUGCCUACAGGCUUCAGAUUCAGCUGUUGGCUUGUUUAGGUCCUGGGCCAGCAAAGUCAACACAGCCGCAGCCUGUCUUUGAUUACGAGACCCAGAGUUUGCAGUACUCUGCCCAUGUGCUCUUCUGGACAGCUUAGAUGUUCCUGGCAAGGCCUUGGGUGGGUGGCAGAUGAGACACGCCUUUGAUCCACUGCCAACCCAGGCCAGCACUACCCACUUGGUGGCUUUAGACAGUUAUCUUCUCUGAGUUCCAAUUGCUUCAUUUGUAAAAUGAAGACAAUGCCCACCUUAUAAACUCUGUGUGUAAGGAUGAGGUGAGAUUCUGCACUGAGAGCAUUUGCUACUACGUCUGGCACACACUUAGAAAUGGCAGUGAAGUCUAUGGCCAUACCACCCUGAACACACCCGAUCUUGUCUGAUCUCAGAAGCUAAGCAGGGUUGGGUCUGGUUAGUACUUGGAUGGGAGGAAUGGCAGUGAAACCACAAGCCAUGCUUACACAUCAAGCCCCCAGUACAGAGCAGCCCCGGUGUCCAGUCAGGUCACAUCUAAGUUUAGCCUCGGAGUCUCAGCUUGCACACCUGUCUCUCCUCGCCUCCUGACCCACUUUUGGGUCUUUCCCAGUGUAACCUUCCCAGCUUCCUCUCCCUCUCAGGCCCUGAGAUUCAGCUUCUCAGCUUGACUCCUGGGGGCACCCUCCAGGAAGAGGGUUUGUGUUUGUCCUCCAGAUCUCUCUAGAGGCACCUCAGCCAUCCCUCCAAGAGGUAUCUGGAUUAGAAUUAGCUGUGCUGCCUCUGGUCCAGGUUCUGAGGGGCCCAGGCCACGUCACCCAUCAGUAGGCCUGAGAUGGAGAGAGGACUGAAGAUUCGGCAUAGAGGGGCUCAUGCUUAUACUUCCUGGGAUCCCAGCAGUGCCCAAAUUCUCUGUGGCUCAGAGUCUUCACAGACAUUCUUUUCUUGCUCUUCUGUUUCUCCCUGACCAAACCCUACCCGUGCGAUCAUUCUUAGCAAAAUCCCUUUUUUCAGAAAAGCUGCUAUGAAUGAAUGUUUGUGAUUCCCCUCACCUCCACUGCUGCCAAAAUUCAUAUCUUGAAGUCCUAACCCACAGUGUGGUGUUAUUUGGAGGUGAGGCCUUUGAGAGGUGAUUAGGUUUAGAUGAGGUCAUGAGGGUGGGGCCCUCAGGAUGGUAUUAGUGCCCUUAUAAGAAGAGGAAGAGACCAGAGCCUUCUUUCCCUCUGUCGUGUGAGGACACAGGAAGGCAGCUGCCUGCAAGCCAGGAAGAAGGUCCCCACCAGGCAGCAAGUCUGAAGGCACCCUGAUCGUGGGCUUCCCAGCCUCCAGAACUGUGAGAAAUCAUUGUUCGUUAAGCUAUCUAGUCUGUGGAUUGUGUUAUAGUUGCCUGAAGUAUGACAAGUGCUUUCCUUGGGUGACAUUUAUAAAUUAGCCCCCUCCAAUUAUAUCCUCUUAGGAAAUAUUCUAUGUGUGUUUUUUUCACUGCAUUUAUUAUCAUUUGUAUCUAUACAAAUUCCAUACUCGAGUGAGCAUUUGUUCAAUUUUUUCCCCCUAUUUUUAUUAGGCUCUACUAUAUUGGGACAUAAAUACACAUGUUACAUUUGAGAACUUCCAAGUGGCAUAACAGAAGUUUAUUUUUGUCUCAGGUAAAACUGGAGUUGGGUUCGUGGCUUUGCUUAACAGAGUCACCUGUUUUUCCAUCCUUAGGGUGUCACCUCAUGUGUAUGGCCCGAAAUAGCUCAGAGCAAUAUCCUCAUUCCUGCCAGUGGAGGGGACGGAAGGGGAAGGGGCAGUGACGCCCUUUCCCUUUAAGGGCUGGAGCUCCAUGCCUGCCUGUCUGACGUACAUGUAGCAUCCAAUAAAUCACUUGAGGCCCUUCUGCUGCUGUGCAGCCCCUUACCCAGCUUAGCCUAACUCAGGGAGUGGCAGUCACUAUUUGUCAGUGGAGAGCUAUGGAAAUAGGGCAAUAUCUAUGCUCUGGAAACCACACAUUUUUAAAAGAAGAAUUGGUGUCUGCUGGGUCUCCUUCUGACUUCUGGUUCCUAGUAGUGCCUUCUCCACGGGCUCCUCUUUCCCAGGAAAUGGCCUCUUCUUCCUGGACUGGACAGGCUGAGGUCCAUGAAGCGGCUGGUGGCUGAUUUUCAGGAGCCCAGCACCCACACCUAGUUCAAAUGUCACCUCUUCUGUGAAGCCCUCCCUGACCCUCUUCCUCCCACUAGCUUCCUGCCCAGGAAGGCCUGGAAGAAUGAAUCACUUCCUCUGUACUCUCGCUGCUCCCUGCCCAUUUCUGUUUGGGCUUUGAUCCCACGGGUAACUGUGGGAGAGCUCAGGCUGGUUCCAUUAGGUAUCAGCCAUCUCUGAGGUUUGUCCCUCUCCCCCUUAACUACUCAGAGUCUCUUGCCAUUAAAAUAAGGUCAUCUCUACAGGAUUCAUCAGAAUGCGAUUGAGCAAAGUGCUGGGGGGGGGGCAUAUGGGCGCCAUUUUUGCUGGUUAACAGAGGACAGUAUCCUGGUUGCUGAUGAGGAGGUCAGAGGCCAAGGAGAAGGACAGAGUGUUGGUACCCGGCACAGACCAUCAAGUUUCUAGGAACCCCUGGUUCUGAGGUUGGACGCUGUUUGCUAGAAAGGAGAUCAGCUGGCUCUAGGGCCCUGUCUCCUCUCCAUGGUUCCUGUUGGUUGAGGGUCUUCAUCUUGGGCUCCGUGGGCCCUACCCCCAACCCCAAGACUCAUUUCUAGGCUUGGAAGAGGACGGAAAGCUUUCUCCUGUCUCACUUGGGAUUUCUAAACUUCUAGACUCCUUGAGGACAAGCUUUUGACAAAACACUCAGAACCUUUUUCUCUAGCUCUUCUCUCUCGUCCCGGGGCUGAGGCACAGAUGCAGCACCUUUCAGUCGUCUGAAGGAAAGAGGGCUCACAAGGCAGCAAGAAGCAUGAGCAGAUGCUGGAGGAAGGACGGGGUAAGCGCUCAAGGAUCUGCCUCCUCAUGCUGCCUCACUCUUGUUUACACUCAUCUUCCUUGUCAGACUGAGGAUGCGGGACACAGGCCAGAACUGUGCAUCAUGCCUUUUUCAUUCAAUGCCUGCAUUAGGCCACAUUUUUGGUAAAUGUUAAAUGAAUGGCCUAUAACUGUAUAUGACAAGACUUUCUUGGACCGUGAUUAUCACUUACAUUUGUAAGCACGUUCCAGAUUUGUCUCCACUACUUUGUUGAUUC
rnacentral:lncRNA from 1 species